rnacentral:rRNA from 1 species
GACGAACGCUGGCGGCGUGCUUAACACAUGCAAGUCGAACGCUGUAGCAAUACAGAGUGGCAGACGGGUGAGUAACGCGUGGGAACGUGCCCUUUGGUUCAGAAUAACCCAGGGAAACUUGGGCUAAUACCGGAUACGUCCGUAAGGAGAAAGAUUUAUCGCCAAAGGAUCGGCCCGCGUCGGAUUAGCUAGUUGGUGAGGUAAAGGCUCACCAAGGCGACGAUCCGUAGCUGGUCUGAGAGGAUGACCAGCCACACUGGGACUGAGACACGGCCCAGACUCCUACGGGAGGCAGCAGUGAGGAAUAUUGGACAAUGGGCGCAAGCCUGAUCCAGCCAUGCCGCGUGAGUGAAGAAGGCCUUAGGGUUGUAAA